AUUGAACGCUGGCGGCAGGCCUAACACAUGCAAGUCGAGCGAGCGGCGGAAGGGUGAGUAAUGUAUGGGGACUGCCCGAUAGAGGGGGAUAACUACUGGCAACGGUGGCUAAUACCGCAUAAUAUAGGAUAAACCAAAUGGGAUUAGCUAGUAGGUGGGGUAAAGGAUCACCUAGGCGACGAUCUCUAUCUGGUCUGAGAGGAUGAUCAGCCACACUUGGACUGAGACACGGCCCAGACUCCUACGGCGGCAGCAGUGGGGAAUAUUUCACAAUGGGCUCUAGCCUGAUGCAGCAAUGCCGCGUGUAUGAAGAAGGCCUUAGGGUUGUAAAGUACUUUCAGCGGGGAGGCGUUACCCGCAGAAGAAGCACCGGCUAACUCCGUGCCAGCCGCCGCGGUAAUAC
rnacentral:rRNA from 1 species